CCUACGGGUGGCAGCAGUGGGGAAUAUUGGACAAUGGGGGGAACCCUGAUCCAGCGACGCCGCGUGAGUGAAGAAGUAUUUCGGUAUGUAAAGCUCUAUCAGCAGGGAAGAAAGAAAUGAGGUACCUGACUAAGAAGCCCCGGCUAACUACGUGCCAGCAGCCGCGGUAAUACGUAGGGGGCAAGCGUUAUCCGGAUUUACUGGGUGUAAAGGGAGCGUAGACGGCGAUGCAAGUCUGAAGUGAAAGGCGGGGGCCCAACCCCCGGACUGCUGUGGAAACUGUAGUUCUUGAGUACUGGAGAGGCAGACGGAAUUCCUAGUGUAGCGGUGAAAUGCGUAGAUAUUAGGAGGAACACCAGUGGCGAAGGCGGUCUGCUGGACAGCAACUGACGCUGAGGCGCGAAAGCGUGGGGAGCAAACAGGAUUAGAUACCCCUGUAGUC
rnacentral:rRNA from 1 species